rnacentral:rRNA from 1 species
AGAGUUUGAUCCUGGCUCAGGAUGAACGCUGGCGGCGUGCCUAACACAUGCAAGUCGAACGAGCGGAGGCCUUCGGACCGAAGCGAGUGGCGGACGGGUGAGUAACGCGUGGGCAACCUGCCUUAUACAGGGGGAUAACAGUUAGAAAUGACUGCUAAUACCGCAUAAGCGCACGGUACCGCAUGGUACAGUGUGAAAAGCCGAGACGGUAUAAGAUGGACCCGCGUCUGAUUAGUUAGUUGGUGGGGUAACGGCCCACCAAGACGAUGAUCAGUAGCCGACCUGAGAGGGUGAUCGGCCACAUUGGGACUGAGACACGGCCCAAACUCCUACGGGAGGCAGCAGUGGGGAAUAUUGCACAAUGGGGGGAACCCUGAUGCAGCAACGCCGCGUGAGUGAAGAAGUAUUUCGGUAUGUAAAGCUCUAUCAGCAGGGAAGAAGAAAGACAGUACCUGAGUAAGAAGCCCCGGCUAACUACGUGCCAGCAGCCGCGGUAAUACGUAGGGGGCAAGCGUUAUCCGGAUUUACUGGGUGUAAAGGGAGCGCAGACGGCAGGGCAAGUCAGAAGUGAAAGCCCGCGGCUUAACCGCGGGACUGCUUUUGAAACUGUUCAGCUGGAGUGCAGGAGAGGUAAGCGGAAUUCCUGGUGUAGCGGUGAAAUGCGUAGAUAUCAGGAGGAACACCGGCGGCGAAGGCGGCUUACUGGACUGUAACUGACGUUGAGGCUCGAAAGCGUGGGGAGCAAACAGGAUUAGAUACCCUGGUAGUCCACGCUGUAAACGAUGAAUACUAGGUGUCGG